rnacentral:rRNA from 1 species
GAUGAACGCUGGCGGCGUGCCUAAUACAUGCAAGUCGAGCGAACAGACGAGGAGCUUGCUCCUCUGACGUUAGCGGCGGACGGGUGAGUAACACGUGGAUAACCUACCUAUAAGACUGGGAUAACUUCGGGAAACCGGAGCUAAUACCGGAUAAUAUAUUGAACCGCAUGGUUCAAUAGUGAAAGACGGUUUUGCUGUCACUUAUAGAUGGAUCCGCGCCGCAUUAGCUAGUUGGUAAGGUAACGGCUUACCAAGGCAACGAUGCGUAGCCGACCUGAGAGGGGGAACCGGCACACUGGAACUGAGACACGGUCCAGACUCCUACGGGAGGCAGCAGUAGGGAAUCUUCCGCAAUGGGCGAAAGCCUGACGGAGCAACGCCGCGUGAGUGAUGAAGGUCUUCGGAUCGUAAAACUCUGUUAUUAGGGAAGAACAAAUGUGUAAGUAACUAUGCACGUCUUGACGGUACCUAAUCAGAAAGCCACGGCUAACUACGUG